GUGCUAGUGACAAUGAUAAGAACAAUGGCAUUGAAUAUUAGGUAUUAGCCCAAAAUGGUUUUAUAAAACACUGAACAAUGUUUUAAAUGGCUGCGAGGAAAGGAGCUAGCUCCUUUAAACUGAGGUGUCCAGUUUGUAAUGAGGAUAUGAAAACCAUGUCCACCUUGUGAAGUAAUAGUUAGUACUACAUGGCUCAAGAGUACUUUAAAUACAGUUUAGUUAUUUUAUACAAUUUAAAAAACAAAUUGAUUUCUUCUACAUAUAAAAAUAUAGUUUCUCUAUAUUAACAUCUUUAAAGCCUAAAACUUAAUUGAACUCGAGUAAUGACAUAAUCAUUCAAAAUUUAUUCAAAGUAAUAACGUGUUUGGAAAUAAAUUCAAAAUUAAAAACCAUGUGUUUCGUUAUUGACUAAAAGCGGCAAUAACAGUGCCGUAGCCUAUGUGUCUGCACAAGCAGCCACAUUUAUCCUUCAAAAUAAAUAAGUGUUACAGAUAUGACCCAGAAGCCUGGAUUCUCCCCAGACCACAAGUAAAUGUAAGAAUUCUAUACAUGUACUUUGUUUUUAAAUCUGAAUAAAUAAUUAACAGUU